UGAGUAACACGUAUCCAACCUGCCGUCUACUCUUGGACAGCCUUCUGAAAGGAAGAUUAAUACAAGAUGGCAUCAUGAGUCCACAUGUUCACAUGAUUAAAGGUAUUCCGGUAGACGAUGGGUAUGCGUUCCAUUAGAUAGUAGGCGGGGUAACGGCCCACCUAGUCUUCGAUGGAUAGGGGUUCUGAGAGGAAGGUCCCCCACAUUGGAACUGAGACACGGUCCAA
rnacentral:rRNA from 1 species